rnacentral:lncRNA from 1 species
UUUUAUAUUAUCAUUAAAUCAUAAUUUAACAUGUAUCUUAGAAUUGUUGACUUAUAUAGUACAUUACAUAUAUAUUAUGACAUUGUAUAUUUUACAAUGUUCAGAGCAUGGGAAGAGUGUGAAUAGUGGCUGUCAAACAUCACUUCCAACCUUGUUGAGCUGGAUCUUGGAGGUUUUCACAUCAUCAAAUCAUUUUGGCAUGGUCUUGAAUUCUCUUGAGCACCUUGAGCU